rnacentral:rRNA from 1 species
UGAGGAAUAUUGGGUCAAUGGGCGCAGGCCUGAACCAGCCAAGUCGCGUGAGGGAAGACGGUCCUACGGAUUGUAAACCUCUUUUGUCGGGGAGUAACGUGCGGGACGCGUCCCGUAUUGAGAGUACCCGAAGAAAAAGCAUCGGCUAACUACGUGCCAGCAGCCGCGGUAAUACGUAGGUGGCAAGCGUUGUCCGGAAUUACUGGGUGUAAAGGGAGCGCAGGCGGGACUGCAAGUUGGAUGUGAAAUACCGCAGCUUAACUGCGGAGCUGCAUCCAAAACUGUAGUUCUUGAGUGAAGUAGAGGUAGGCGGAAUUCCGAGUGUAGCGGUGAAAUGCGUAGAUAUUCGGAGGAACACCGGUGGCGAAGGCGGCCUACUGGGCUUUUACUGACGCUGAGGCUCGAAAGUGUGGGGAGCAAACAGGAUUAGAUACCCUGGUAGU